rnacentral:rRNA from 1 species
UACGUAGGGGGCAAGCGUUGUCCGGAUUCAUUGGGCGUAAAGAGCGUGUAGGCGGCCAGGUAGGUCGGUUGUGAAAACUGGAGGCUCAACCUUCAGAGGUCGACCGAAGCCAUCUGGCUAGAGUCCGGGAGAGGAGAGUGGAAUUCCUGGUGUAGCGGUGAAAUGCGCAGAUAUCAGGAAGAACACCCGUGGCGAAAGCGGCUCUCUGGAACGGUACUGACGCUGAGACGCGAAAGCGUGGGGAGCGAACAGG